rnacentral:rRNA from 1 species
CCUACGGGAGGCAGCAGUGGGGAAUAUUGCGCAAUGGGCGAAAGCCUGACGCAGCGACGCCGCGUGAGGGAUGAAGGUCUUCGGAUCGUAAACCUCUGUCAGCAGGGAAGUACGGUCACUGUGCUAAUCAGCAGUGAAUUGACGGUACCUGCAAAGGAAGCACCGGCUAACUCCGUGCCAGCAGCCGCGGUAAUACGGAGGGUGCGAGCGUUAAUCGGAAUUACUGGGCGUAAAGCGCUCGUAGGCGGUAUGUCAAGUCAAGGGUGAAAUCCCCGCGCUCAACGUGGGAACUGCCUUUGAAACUGGCAGACUGGAGUGUGUGAGAGGAUGGUGGAAUUCAAGGUGUAGGAGUGAAAUCCGUAGAUAUCUGAAGGAACAUCAGUGGCGAAGGCGACUAUCUGGCACAUAACUGACGCUGAGGAGCGAAAGCGUGGGUAGCAAACAGGAUUAGAUACCCGAGUAGUC